rnacentral:rRNA from 1 species
UACGGAAGGCAGCAGUGGGGAAUAUUGCACAAUGGGCGCAAGCCUGAUGCAGCCAUGCCGCGUGUAUGAAGAAGGCCUUCGGGUUGUAAAGUACUUUCAGCGGGGAGGAAGGCGAUGCGGUUAAUAACCGCGUCGAUUGACGUUACCCGCAGAAGAAGCACCGGCUAACUCCGUGCCAGCAGCCGCGGUAAUACGGAGGGUGCAAGCGUUAAUCGGAAUUACUGGGCGUAAAGCGCACGCAGGCGGUCUGUUAAGUCAGAUGUGAAAUCCCCGGGCUUAACCUGGGAACUGCAUUUUGAAACUGGCAGGCUUGAGUCUUGUAGAGGGGGUAGAAUUCCAGGUGUAGCGGUGAAAUGCGUAGAGAUCUGGAGGAAUACCGGUGGCGAAGGCGGCCCCUGGGACAAAGCUGACGCUCAGGUGCGAAAGCGUGGGGAGCAAACGAGGAUUAGAUACC